CCUACGGGGGGCUGCAGUCGAGAAUCUUCCACAAUGGACGAAAGUCUGAUGGAGCGACGCCGCGUGAGUGAUGAAGGCCCUACGGGUUGUAAAACUCUGUCAGGAGAGAAGAAUCGCCGGGGUGCCAAUACCACCCUGGUCUGACGUUAUCUCCAGAGGAAGCUCCGGCUAACUCCGUGCCAGCAGCCGCGGUAAUACGGGGGGAGCAAGCGUUGUCCGGAAUUAUUGGGCGUAAAGGGCGUGUAGGCGGCCUGGUCAGUCGAAUGUGAAAUCCCACGGCUCAACCGUGGAACUGCGUUCGAUACUGCCUGGCUUGAGUAUGUGAGAGGUGUGCGGAAUUCCUGGUGUAGCGGUGGAAUGCGUAGAUAUCAGGAAGAACACCGAUGGCGAAGGCAGCACACUGGCGCAAUACUGACGCUGAGGCGCGAAAGCGUGGGGAGCAAACAGGAUUAGAUACCCUAGUAGUC
rnacentral:rRNA from 1 species